UACGAAGGGGGCUAGCGUUGUUCGGAAUUACUGGGCGUAAAGCGCGCGCAGGCGGUCUUCCAAGUCAGUGGUGAAAGCCCGGAGCUCAACUCCGGAACUGCCAUUGAAACUGUUAGACUUGAGGAUGAGAGAGGUGAGUGGAAUUCCCAGUGUAGAGGUGAAAUUCGUAGAUAUUGGGAAGAACACCGGUGGCGAAGGCGGCUCACUGGACCGGUAUUGACGCUGAUGUGCGAAAGCGUGGGGAGCAAACAGG
rnacentral:rRNA from 1 species